rnacentral:rRNA from 1 species
UACGGGAGGCAGCAGUGGGGAAUAUUGCACAAUGGGCGAAAGCCUGAUGCAGCUAUGCCGCGUGUAUGAAGAAGGCCUUAGGGUUGUAAAGUACUUUCAUCGGGGAGGAAAACAAACUAAUAAUUUUAUUCUUGACGUUACCCGAAAAAGAAGCACCGGCUAACUCCGUGCCAGCAGCCGCGGUAAUACGGAGGGUGCUAGCGUUAAUCAGAAUUACUGGGCGUAAAGAGCACGUAGGUGGUUUUUUUAAGUCAGAUGUAAAAUCCCUGGGCUUAACCUAGGAACUGCAUUUUGAAACUGAAAUACUAGAGUAUCGUAGAGGGAGGUAGAAUUCUAGGUGUAGCGGUGAAAUGCGUAGAUAUCUGGAGGAAUACCUGUGGCGAAAGCGGCCUCCUAAACGAAUACUGACACUGAGGGUGCGAAAGCGUGGGGAGCAAACAGGGAUUAGAUACC